rnacentral:tRNA from 1 species
UCCCCGGUAGCUCAGCGGUAGAGCGGCUCCCUGUUAAGGAGAUGGUCGUAGGUUCGAAUCCUACCCGGGGAG